rnacentral:rRNA from 1 species
UACGAAGGGGGCUAGCGUUGCUCGGAAUCACUGGGCGUAAAGGGUGCGUAGGCGGGUUCUUAAGUCAGAGGUGAAAUCCUGGAGCUCAACUCCAGAACUGCCUUUGAUACUGAGAGUCUUGAGUACGGGAGAGGUGAGUGGAACUGCGAGUGUAGAGGUGAAAUUCGUAGAUAUUCGCAAAGAACACCAGUGGCGAAGGCGGCUCACUGGCCCGUUACCUGACGCUGAGGCACGAAAGCGUGGGGAGCAAACAGGG